rnacentral:rRNA from 1 species
UACGUAGGGUCCGAGCGUUGUCCGGAAUUAUUGGGCGUAAAGGGCUCGUAGGCGGUCUGUUGCGUCGGGAGUGAAAAUUCACAGCUUAACUGUGAACUUGCUUCCGAUACGGGCAGACUUGAGGUAUUCAGGGGAGAACGGAAUUCCUGGUGUAGCGGUGAAAUGCGCAGAUAUCAGGAGGAACACCAGUGGCGAAGGCGGCAUCCUGGACCGAGAUUGACGCUGAGGCGCGAAAGCUAGGGGAGCAAACGGG